ensembl:lncRNA
UUGCUUUCUGUAUGACAGCAACCACCCCUCAAGUGGCUAAACCCACUUUAUUUUACCUGUUCCAAACAGGCAGUCAUCACAGGUGCCUGCUUUUGAGAACAUGGGUGCUGUCUGAUUUAAAUAAUGGCUUUGGCAUAAUUAUAUGUGCAUACAUGUGAGUUUUAGAGAUUUGUAUUGUGUUGCUGCUCAUCAACACAUUUAUGUCCUCUCAAGACACUACAUCAGUUGUGAAAAGUGGGAGGAAUGCAUUCCAUGUGGGUGUUUCAGCUGUAGACAUCUAAAAAAUAACAGAGAUAAUUCAGUGAUGAUAACUUCAUAUGAUCACUGUGAAAGCCAAAUCUUUUCUAAGGUGUUCUGGUGUUCUGACCUCAUUUUGUGUGUUUGCCUGAUAGUAUGCGUAGAAGAGCUUCUGAUUUUCUCAAGUGUAAUGUAUCAUUUACUCCUACUAGAGAGCUGCUACUAUUCAAAACUUUGGAAAUAUAGUUUCUCGGUUCCCAUAUACCUGCUACAGAUACUGUGUUGGCUUAGGUCUGUUUACCAGUGUAAUUUUAGCAAAUUACAAUGGCUGGACAAGGGGAGUCAGUGAUUUGUGCGGUCAACAAUCUAUAAUAGGAAUUUAAUGAUUUAAAUUAGUUUUUAGAAUGGAGAGAUUACUAGAAUGUUUCUCAGAAAUUAAACUUAAUUAAUGUUAGUUAAUAUGUUAAUUGCAUACUUUAAUUAACUAGUUGCUGAAGCAAUUUAUUUUAAUAUCUUUCAGUGUCCUUCCUGUAGAGCUGGAUUAUGACUUUAAGUUUCUAAUGUUGUUUUGAAUAUCUGUCUUUACAGAAAGAUCUCUCUGAGGAAGAGGUAAGUUGUUUUGUUUGGGUUUUUUUUUUUCCUGUACAGAACUACUGCUUAAUACAGACAUUUACAAUUGUAUGGAAAUGUAAUUCAAGAAAACUGAUUGUUCAGGAAGUUGGUGAACUAUUGAGUCUAAUGGGAUUGCCUUCAAGUAAAACAUGCUUUUGCAUUUGCAGGACAGAGCUUCAAUUUGCUGUCCUAAUGUCAUUUACUUUCUCUCCUUAUUUUCAAAGUUGAAGAAGAACAAUGAGUGAGCAUUGAGGUUAGCAAGAAUUUGGUGAUGUCUUGGCACAUCAUCCAACAGACUCAGUGGAUAAGAAAACAUGACACAGAGCUGAAUGUGGUGCAGUUCUGGCCCUUAAUGCUCUUCCUAAUAGAGUUUUAAAAAAGGAAGGAACUCGAACAAAGCUCCUCCAUUGCACUUUUCCAGUUUGUCCACAGUGUCACCCUGACUGCAGCCAUUGGUAGGUCUGGCUGCCAUUUUGAGGGGGACUAAAGUUAACUUUCCUUUUAAAGAUGUUAGUCCUACUUAAGGUACACUUAUCUCAGGCGAAGACUGUUCUGAUGACCAGGCUUAAGGAAACUGCUAAAUAUUCUGAGUGUUUGCAAAACUGAAAGUAUUUUAUUUUUCAUUCAUUUCCACUGGCAUGUUGAUUUUUGUCAAAAUAAAUCCUGAAGUAGUAAAACAUUCAGUGUUAUCCUUGGAAAACAAAGUGUUACUAAUUGUGAUAUUCAGGUAAGAAUGAUAUUUAAACCCUUCACUUCUAGACAUCUAGUGGAAGUGUAAUAAAUAAUAAAACAAAAAAUUAAAACCAACAUUCCUUAUUCCUCC